UUACUCUCUUCUCUUUUUCCUUCCAUCCCUGCAAUGUCAGGUUGGGAAACCCUUUCUUGUUUGCAGGACCACUUCUCAUGCUAUCCAGCGGUCAAGGGAUUCUGCAGGCUGUGCACAUAAUCAACGGAAACUGCAAAAAUGUUGUAAACAUGUCGCAGUCUGAGCAGGUAGACUUAUGGCAAUAUGUGAUGAAUGGUAUGCAUGCCCAUUGAUUAGAAUCUUACAUAAUUGAUUCCGCCGUUUAAUUAUUUUAUUCUUGAGUUUAAUUUAUUUUUGUGUACCAAUGCAUAUGGGUGUUUAGUGAUGCUGCUUUAUUUUUGUAUUUUAGCACUAACUGAUGGGUUGUUAUACAGUAUUCUUACUGAAUGAUAUGACGAGUGUUGAUAUGUAGUAGCCUAUACAAGUGAAAAUCUCAGUUUAAUUUCUCUUAGUCUCCACAGUUAUAUGCCAUUUUAAAUCACAUCAUGUAAUGGUUAAGAAAGCAAAGAAAACCUUGGAUUGGGCAGAGAGGAAAGGGUCUUGUGCUAGAGCCUAUAAGAAUAUAUAUUUAAUUUGUGUAGUGUAUGUGCAUACUCUUUAUAUAGCUACACAGAGUAUUUCCUUCUUCCCUUACAAGAGAUGAAAUUGAGAAUUUAUCCUUUGAAGUUUGAUCAAUCAUAAGUGGAAAGUACAGUGUUUGAGUGACUAUGAAAUAUGAAUAUGCUAUGGACUACGAAGUUAUAUGAUUGUUGAUUGAUUUCCGUCUAUAGACUUUUUCUGAAGGCCUUGAGUCCCUUGAUUUCUCUCUCUAUCUUUUGUUUCUUUUGAAAUUGCAAGGUACUUAAUGCCAAUCGUUGCCGUUUCAAAAAAUAAAGUUAGGCAAAGUCUGCCCCUUAUUCUCCUAAGUUCUCGUUCUCCAAAUUCUGCUAGCCUUUAUUAAGUACCUUGCCAUUUCAUUACCUUUCUAUAGGAAGAUUGCUUAUAUGUGUUUGAUUACUAAAGCUUGCUUUGGUUGUUAAUGCUGUUCUAAUCAAUGAUGCAAGUCAGGAAGCAUGUCGCAUGGGACCUAUACUUAAUUUUCUUGCUACUAGAGAAUGCUUUGAAAGUUUUUAUGAACUACUUUACAUCCAAAGAUAACAUUUGGGAUCUUAUGCAUUUUAUGAGGAACUGAAUGGCCUUAUAUAUUAGAAGGAAUUAUGAGGUUUAUGUCGGAAAGUAAAGUUUGGAAAAACUUCGUUUUCUGCAUUGCAAUAAUAAUUAUCAGAUUUACCUGUUAUGAACUGAUGGUACCCUCUAUAGUAUUUUUUUUGAACAUGUUAAGCAAAUGGGCAUUGCUCCUGAUUUUUUGGUGAUGAGAAAAUACUAAUAUGCAUGCAUUACUCGCUGCUUAGACAAACUUUGAGGGUCUAAACUGGCUAAUUUAGUUUUUCUUUUCUAGCAUCUGAUAUUGCAUGUUGAUCUCAACCUUUCAAAUGGGGGUAUUCAUUUUUCAUGGGACUUUUGGUGCUUCUCUUGUUCAAAUUCCAAUGUCAAAUACUUAAAACGGCAGGUAAUUUGGAUGCAUUCCUACGCGUAUCAUCAAAGCUUAAACUUGGGAAAUUUGAAGAUGAGUACACUGCAAAAUACUUUAUGUUCACCAAGAUCUCGACAUGGCCCUGGCAAGGCAGAUAUGGGUGGACAAAUGAAGUCUUGUUAGUGAAAUCUACCCUUGAUUCUGACACUCCAAUACAACUAGAAGUAUUAUGAAAAAUCAGGCUCAGAAUGGUAAUUGGUAGCUGGAGGAAAACAGAAAUUAUCCCACAUAAGACGCAUUUAUUUAUGUUAUGGAGUAAACAAAGCUGCAUAUGAUAAAUCUACCAUCUGAAAAAGAAAAACAAAGAAGCUUGUGAAUACGUGCGAGACACCCCUAUAAUGUUUUAAUUUGUACAUAUGUUAGUUCAUAACAUGCAUACUGAAUUUUCUAUCCCCACUUAAAAUUCUCAUCACUUCACUGAAAGACCAGUUAGAUUUUGCGGUUAUUUCAUUUGUCCUAGAUUUGGUGAUUUUAUUCUUAAUCUUACAGUUUCAUUGAUACUUCAAAUGAUGGCUGGGACAGGAUGCUUCUCAUUGAGUUUUUAUUUUGCCGUGUUUUGUUUUUUUAUCUAUUGUAGUAUUCUCUUUUCAGGCAGAAUUCCAGUUUGCUUAUAUGUUUGGAGUGUUUACGAGGAUUUUGAUGAUUUUGACGAUGUUCCUCAACUUGAUACUUUUAUGGUCCUUCUCCUAAGAAUUUAAAUUCCAAUGUUUAUUUGAUUUCAAGUUGGGUUUAGCCAUUUUUCAUCAAGGCAUUCUUUUUCAUUUUGAAAUGGUAUGACUUUUUAAAUUUGGUAUUCUCCCUUUUUCUGAACAAAUGUGUAGAUGAUGGUGUACAUAAGAUCAAUUUCUUGACUCAUUUCAUUUUUAGCAUCAAGCUGGGUUUUUCCCAUUUCAUCAAGGCCUUUUUCUGGGUUUAAAAUGGUACGACUUUUAAUUUGCCUUUGUUUUCUUUUUCUUGAUGAGUAUAAAGAUCAGUAUGCUUCUUUCAAUUAAUUUAUUGACUUUUUUCUUAACCAAUAUCUUGAUGUCCAUUUCUUACCAAACCAUUCGUCAAUGGAUUGGAGUGAACAUGCUCACUACAUAGUAACUUAAGCUCAGAAAUUGUAAGGGGAACCCAGCAGUGAGCUUUCCAUCCAGAGAACCAUACGCUAAAGCAACUGGCCAAACCAGCCCUGAAGACACCAAUCCUGUAUUUCAAGAACUAGCCACUUGCACCUUUUAAAGUGGUCCCACAUGAGAUUCCUUUUCUAACUCACCAAGCCAUACCCACAACACUACGUAGUAGACACAUUUUUCAAAUCUCUACCUGAAUUUCUGGACUUGGGAAGCGAGGCAAUCAGAAUUUGAUUCAUGCCAUUGCAGCUAACAUGCUCUGAAUCCUACUUCUGGUACCUCAACUCCCUAUGUCUCCUAAUUUGAUAUUUUACUCAUCAGUUGAUCUUUUAUCAUCCAUGGGUGUUUUGAUCUGAUUUAUACGUUUUGGAUUUAUUGGUUUAGCCUAUGAUGAAACCAAAGUCUUCUUGUUAUGAUUUUGAUCCUCUGUUUUGUGGAGUGUUAAAGUUUUUUCAGAUCCUAAGAGGUGCUAUUUUUGACACCUGUUGUGUCAUGAUGACAAGCUACAUGAGGAUUUAUGUUGGGAAAUUGUUGUUUAACAUUCUAUUUAUCUCUUUUUUGUUAUGGUUUAUCAUGCUGUUUAUAUACUUUAUUUAGUUUUCAUAUUGCAUGUGCAGUUGCUUUUGUCGUUCAAGAGCUCACCAAAGCCAACACUAGCAGUGAUGAUAAAGAAAAAAAACUUAUAUUCGAAAAAGUUGGUUCUCAGUAUCACAAUUCUGACUGCACCAUGUACAAACCUUUUUUUCCCUUUGUUUUCAGAGCACCAAAUCAAAUAACAUCUAUGUUUUGUACAACUAUAAUAUACCAAAGAUAUGGUAUCAACAUAAAAAUCUGACAGCACCAGGUACAUAUUGCCCUUACUCUUCCUUUAUUUUUUUUUAUGAUUCAUUAUUUUUUCCCUCUUUUAUCCAUUUUCUUUUUGGUGUAGGGUACCAGGAAUUAUUCAAAUCGGAAUUAUUUUAUUGAUGACUGUCUCAUAGCAUACAUGUCAUGAAACAGUCAUGGUUCAAACAUGGGUUCUUCCAUUUUCUUCUUGAUACUAAGAUUAUAUUAGUUCUGAAUUAGAUGCAUUGAAGAUGAGAUUAUCGAUAUGCUUUUAUUGGUAUGCUUUUUAUUUGUGU